rnacentral:rRNA from 1 species
CACGUAGGGUGCGAGCGUUGUCCGGAAUUAUUGGGCGUAAAGAGCUCGUAGGCGGUGUGUCGCGUCGGCCGUGAAAACCUGCAGCUUAACUGUGGGCUUGCGGUCGAUACGGGCAUCACUGGAGUUCGGCAGGGGAGACUGGAAUUCCUGGUGUAGCGGUGAAAUGCGUAGAUAUGUGGAGGAACACCAAUGGCGAAGGCAGGUCUCUGGGCCGAUACUGACGCUGAUGCGCGAAAGCCAGGGGAGCAAAGCGGG